GAUACCUUGGUCAAGGGGAGGGAGGGAGGACAGAAGAGGGAGGAUAGUGGUGACAACUUGCAACAUCAAUAAUGCAUUUGGUCCAGGAACUGCUAAUGAAUGUACAGUGUGGUGAUGGUUCUUAAUUGUGAAAUUAUUCUCUCUGACUUCUGCCCCCAAUUCCACACUGCACCUUUGGAAAAAAGUCGCUAGAAGCAGCUGCCACCUAAGGAAUAAGGAGUCAUGCUCCAGCCCCUUGGUGGUAGGGUAUCUGAAUGGAUGAUUCGCGUCAUGUAAUUCUGCAAAGGAGUUUUAUCUCUUCUCGGGCUUGGCAUGUC
rnacentral:lncRNA from 10 species